UGGGGAAUCUUGCGCAAUGGGGGAAACCCUGACGCAGCAACGCCGCGUGACCGAUGAAGCUUUUCGGAGUGUAAAGGUCUGUCGUGAGGGAAGAAUGGCUUCUAUUCAAAUAGUUUAGAGGCAUGACGGUACCUCACAAGAAAGCACCGGCUAACUUCGUGCCAGCAGCCGCGGUAAUACGAGGGGUGCUAGCGUUGUCCGGAAUCACUGGGCGUAAAGGGUACGUAGGCGUCCUGAUAAGCAUUGAUUGAAAUCCUUCGGCUUAACCGGAGAACUGGUCAGUGAACUGUCAGGAUAGAGUUUGGUAGAGGAAAGCGGAAUUCCCGGUGUAGCGGUGAAAUGCGUAGAUAUCGGGAGGAACAUCGACGGCGAAGGCAGCUUUCUGGGCCAAUACUGACGCUGAGGUACGAAAGCGUGGGUAGCGAACAGG
rnacentral:rRNA from 1 species